UCCUCCUCCUCCUCCUCCUCCUCCUUCUACUCUCCUCCACGCAUUGGCUUUUCAGAUCAGAAAAGAGCUGCUCCUCCGAUGCGAACUUCUUCUUCCUCCUCCUCCUCCUCCUUCUCCUCCUCCUCCCGCUUCUUCUCCUCCUCCUCGGCUUCUUCUUCUCGAAUCCCCUUGACGCAACCUGGACAAGACGUAGUCGCUUUGGCGCAUACGUUCACGAUGACGUCAUCGGUUCUUUUGCUCCUCUACGCUUCUCCUCCCUUCUCCUUCUCUCUCUCUCUCUCUCUUUCUCUGUCUCUCUCUCUCUGUCUCUCUGUUUGUCUGCCUGUCUCUGUGUGUGUGUGUCUAUCUCUCUCCCUCUCUCUUUUUUCUUCUAUCUCCUUCUACUUUGAUCGAGCUAUAUAGGUCGAUCGACGCGUGAUUUGGCGAAUAUACCGCGAGCAUAUCCUCGAAUGACAAAAAGCACGAUAAGAGAGUUUCGUCAUUACCCACUCGUUACUUCUUCUUCUUCUUCUUCUCCUUCUCUUUCCUCUUUCCCCUCUCUUCUUUCCUUUUCUCGACUUCGAUCACGUUCUUCACCGUCGUCGAAAGGAUGACUCCAUCUGUAAAAUUUUUCGUGAUCGUCUUCCAAGAUCAUUCUACAAAACAGACUGUUCGCGAUCGAUUUUCUUCGUGAGAAUUUUACAGCUGAAGGAGGAGCAGGAGGAGGAGGAGGAGGGGGAGAAGGAGAAGGAGUUGUAACGUCGAAAGGAAGGGAAUGUUUCGCUAGGAAAAAGAAAAGGAAAAAGAAAGAGGAAAGGAGAGGAAAGAAAAGAGGGAGGCGAGAAUCGUCGCUGCAACAGGCUGCUGCAGCGAGGAGGCAACGGAGCAUAGAGAAAAUAUUUGUCCGAAGGGAAAAGCGAGGCUCGAGUUCGAACGAGUAAUUACCGGCGACCUUGGGAUCCAUUCAUCGUUCGGCUCUUCGGCCGUAUAUAGGACGCCGCCGGAUUUGGUAGGCAAAUGAGCCGAAAUUGAGAAGCGCUCGCACGAAUCGACGGAGACGUGUCUGUGGUGUGAGACGGGUCUAAAGAGAAAGAGAGAAAGAGAAAGAAAGGGAAAACGACAGAGAGAGAAAGAGAGAGAGAGAGAGAGAGAGAGAGAGAUAGAGAAAGAUUAAGAAAGAGGGAGAGAGAGAGAGAGAGAUAGAGAUAGAGAAAGGUUAAGGGAGGGAUCGAGAACGAUAGGAGAAGAGAGAUAAAGUGAGGGUGAUGGAAAGCUUGUAUUUUGUUCCGGUCAAAAUACACGUUGGAGGAACGAUCGGUAGGCCGCAAUCAUUUCCCCAUUAUUCAAGAACCGCAGAAAAAGAUAAAAGAGAGAAAGAUAGAGAGACAAGGCGAGAGAGAGAGAGAGAGAGAGAGAGAGAGAGAGAGAGAGAGAGAGAGAGAGAAAGGAGUAGAGAGAGGAAGAAAUGAGAGAACAACGGAACCGCCCAUUUCCAUGGUCCCUCGUAGCAAUCACUCUAACGGAGCUAUGGCUCUUUGAUACACCACUUAGUCCUUUCGAUUCUUGAUGAGAGGAUAUAGUGAGACCUCUUGAAACGUUGCGAUGUAUACGUAUAUAUGAGUAUGUAUAGAUAUGUACACGCGUAUAUGAUAGUGGUACGUAUGUGUAUAUACGUAUGUGAUAUGCUUCGAAAGAUGAAGUCGCUUCUUAAUUGUGUUCUCAACGUGUAUGUGGAAUUGUAUUUUAUUAGCACCUCCUAGAAAUAUCUCGUUACUCGUAUCGGAAAGUAAUCGAUCUUGAUAAUGGAUAUAUCUCAAUGAUAUCGGAGUAGAGAGAAAUAAUGUAUAAGAAAAAAAAAAAAAAUAGGAAAAAGGGAGAAGGAAAGAAAAAAUGAAAAAAAAGAAACCGAAAGAGAUGAAUAAAAAUAAAAGGAACGAGAAGAAAUAAGAGAAAAAAUGAAAGACAAAAGGCAAUCGUCUUGGCCGAUCUCGUAGUGUGUCCGGUCGGUUGCCGGGCGCUGAUUGGUCGGACACCGGCUACUGGACCCGGUUGACCCUUAACCCCAACAACUCGCUCCGCUUUAUCGUCUGGAAUUGCUGUGUUGGUGGCGAGUUGGUACAACAACGGCACGUUGUGCUCUAGCUCUCGACCGCUGUGAUCGGUGUGCGCGAGCGCGCACGAGAUGAGAGAGGUGGUGGAGAGAUGAGGUGGUACGAGGUGAAGCGAAAAGAGAGACUAGUAGGAGAGAGAGAGAGAGAGAGAGAGAGAGAGAGAGAGAGAGAGAGAGAGCCGCGAUCGUCGUACAUACGUACACGCGACGCAUUUAUAAGAGCCGUACUACUCGCGCGCACGGUGGGAGCGGAAUUCUGUGCUGAGCGACAAACAAUUGCCGCCAAGUGGCUUAAUUGUAGCCAACUAAACAAAUGUUCCAACCGUAUCUCCCCAACGUGUUCUUCGCUUCUCCCUUUCUCUCUCUCUCUCUGUCUCUGUCUUUUUCUCUUUAUCUCUUUCUCUCUCUCGCUCUCUUUUUCUGUUUAUCUCUCUCUCUUUCUCUCUCUCUCUCUCUCUCUCUCUCUCUCUCUCUCUCUCUCUCUCGUUUUUUCCCUUCUUUUUUCCGAGAGAACGAUGCUUUCCUCGGUCCAGGACGAUUCCAAAUGUUUCUUUUCCUCUCUUUUUUUUUCUCUUUAUCUAUCUUUCUCACUGUAUAGGCCCGGUUUUCAAGGCUCGCCAAUGAGAGCAAGAGGAACUCUCGCGAUUAUUGCCUUCUCUCUUUUCCUCCUACCAUAUCCUUUCUUCUGCAACGAGUCGACGUAACUCGCUCGUUCCCACGUAGAUACACGGUUCGUAUGCAUAUUUUUCCAGGACGAUGACGACGAGAAUGACGAGGAGAAUGACGAUGACGAGAGCGACGACAGAGGGUGGGAGGGAGGGGGCGGGGAGAUGGGGGGAGGCGUUACGUCUCCUCGUAGACUCGUUUAGUCGCGUCAACUUUAACGCAACCUCGUGUUCGUACGCUUAUGCACAUAGGAAAGAAGAUAUAUAUAUAUAUACAUAUAUCUUAUAUUAUAUAUAUAUAUAUAUAAGAAAAAGAAGUUGUGCCUUCUCAGAGUAACGAUCGAGAUCUUGAGAUUUCCAGGAGUCUGCUGCAAAUCGUUUAUUUCAACGAACAGAAAGAAAGAACGGAAAGAGAAAGAGAAAGAAAGAGAAAGAAAUAAAAAGAGAGUUUACGAUGGCGAAUAAUUUGUUUCCUUGUUGACUUCUUGCUCUCGUCAUUUCCAUUCUCCUUGUUCGUUUUGAAAAUCAAGAUAUAGAGUACAGUAUUCGUUCUCUUAAAGCUUUUCUCCAGUAAAGCGUGGCCGCACCCGAGUAGGUGUAGGUAUACGAGUCUGACUACUGGCCGUGCCUCGUGCAGUGAGAUUCCCAUUUAUCAGGGUACAUCCGCCGGAAGUGGGGCGGCCCGUGCGUAGGUGAGAGACAGAGAGAAAGAAAGAGAGAGAGAAACAGAGACGAACAGAAUGCGAAAGAAAGAAGAGAAGCGGGCCGCUACCGUGCUCCCUGUGGAAAGAAAGAGAGAAUGAAACAAAAUGAGAGAGAAAGAAAAAAGAUAUUAAAAGAGAGAGAGAGAGAAAGAGAUUAUUUAUUGGUAACUGAAAUCGUUCUGUGCAAGAGGAACAUCAACGACGGAAUUAGAUUUCUCUCCGAAUUCUGAUCGAAGGAGACCGAGAAGGUGGAGGAUGAGUAGGAGGAAAAGGAGGAGGAGGAGGAGGAGGAGAAGGAGGGGUGGUCGGAUUUAAAGCAUUCAGCAACAGGUUGAAGCGAUCAGAUGGUGCUGCUAUUCGGGUGGAAACUCGCUAUAAUUGUCAUUUCCAAGCGCGGCGAUCGAUCAUCGCCAACUUUUCCCUCGAGGACGGUUCAAAUGGCUGAGUCGAUCUCUCUUCAGUAGGAAAAAAAUGUCGUCGAUAUCUACCGAUCAAUCGAUUCUUCAACUCUUUUCUUUCUUCUCUUCUUUCGUCUUUCUCUCUUCUUUUCUCUUCUGUUCUUUUUCCUUCUCUUUUCAUUCGACGAGAUAAAAAGUCGAUUUAUAUUUAUUAAUCUUCUUAUCUUGGAUUCAAAGGUGAGGUAGAUCCGUUCCGUAUAACCUACCACACUCCUUCUUUCGAUAUUCGCCUAACAUCGGCCAAGGAAAAGAAAUUUCGUUCGCUCGUUGCCAAUAAAUUCCAGCGAUUAUUAAACAGAUUCUCUGCCCCUUUUGAAUUUUACCUUCUACGGUAGUAGUAGAUAUAAUGCAGUCGAAAAGCUGAUACAUUCUGUAGGAUCAUCUCUCUCUGUCUCUUUUUCUCUCUUUCUCUCAUCUUUUUUCUGAACGAAGAGAGAAAUAAUUGAAUAUUCUUACGAGACGAUACUUAUAAAAAAUGUGAAAGAUAAUAAAGAUAUAUCCAACGA